UACGAAGGGGGCUAGCGUUGCUCGGAAUCACUGGGCGUAAAGCGCACGUAGGCCGAUUGUUAAGUCAGGGGUGAAAUCCCGGGGCUCAACCCCGGAACUGCCUUUGAUACUAUUGGUCUUGAAUGUUGUGGAGGUGGGCGGAACGGGUCAUGUAGCGGUGAAAUGCAUAGAUAUGACCCGGAACACCGAUUGCGAAGGCAGCCCGCUACGCAACGAUUGACGCUGAGGCACGAAAGCGUGGGGAUCAAACAGG
rnacentral:rRNA from 1 species